rnacentral:rRNA from 1 species
CCUACGGGUGGCAGCAGUGGGGAAUAUUGCACAAUGGGGGAAACCCUGAUGCAGCGACGCCGCGUGAGUGAAGAAGUAUCUCGGUACGUAAAGCUCUAUCAGCAGGGAAGAAAAUGACGGUACCUGACUAAGAAGCCCCGGCUAACUACGGGCCAGCAGCCGCGGUAAUACGGCGGGGCCGAGCGUUAUCCGGAUGUAUUGGGUUUAAAGGGAGCGUAGGCGGGUCUUUAAGCGUGCCGUGAAAUUUUGUGGCUCAACCAUUGGAGUGCGGCGGGAACUGGAGGCCUUGAGUGCGCGGAAGGCAGGCGGAAUUCGUGGUGUAGCGGUGAAAUGCUUAGAUAUCACGAAGAACCCCGAUUGCGAAGGCAGCCUGCCGGAGCGUUACUGACGCUGAGGCUCGAAAGCGCGGGUAUCGAACAGGAUUAGAUACCCGUGUAGUC